rnacentral:lncRNA from 1 species
UGUUAUUGAUAUAUGAUAAGAUAAUUUUAUUAAAUAAUAUCCAUACAUAACUCAAUGAAUUCAUAAGCAACAUUUUUUUUAUAAAUCUAGGAAAAAGAAAUUUAAUUAGUAUUUAUUUGGUCAAAUUUUAAUUAGUAUGAAAUUAAUUUCGAAAUAUUUUUAUAUAAUUCACUAUUUAUAAAAAUCUUUUAUAAACUGGGUAUUACUAGUAAUUGUGAUGUUAUAUUCUUUUUUGUUGAAACUAACGUUUUUUUUUUUAAAUGGAACUAACGUUAAACGGUUUUUAUUUGAAAGUGAGGUUUUUUUUUGAAAGAAAUAAAAUAAAAAAUAACCAGAAAAAAAAAAGAAAUGGAAAAAUAAGUUUACAUUAAAUAAUUUUGAUUUGAAUGGAAUAUUCCGUUAGCAUCUUUUGGAUGGAGUUAACAUGAUAAAAUGAGUGGGGUGGAGUGUAUAUUUUGAAUAAGAAUGGGGUGGAGUGUUUUUCUAGCAAACCUUGAGGGGGGUAAGUGUAUUUUACUCAUAUAUAUAUAUAUAUAUAUAUAUAUAUUUAACAACUUAGAAUUUAAAGAUAACAUUCAUUAAUAUUUCUCCAAAUAAUGCACUUAUACAAGAAUAAGAGAUAUAAUACAUUUUAAAUACAUUUUAAGAAUAAGAGUUGGAGGACAUACGAGCUGGAGGACAUAUGAGGACUUAGUUGUUGAAUGCAAGUCACUACAUAAGUGGAAUUUGAUAAGCUGCUUUAGGCCUGUACAUUCUUAAGUUUUUUUUUUUUACUUUAAAAAAAAAAGAAAAAGAGUCUUAGGUUUUCUUAUUAAUAUCAUAAACUAUAAAGUAAUUUAUAUUUAGAAAAUAUAAUUUAUAAAUAGAGAUAGAGGCACGUAACAACACAUGGAUGAGUUUGCUAUGAUUUUACUACUAUCAACCUUAAACUCUUCGGUGAGAUAGGAUGAGUUGUUCUGUAUCACUAAUUCACAAUCACAUAAUAAGACAUUGGACAUGGAUGGACCAUUUAGUUGAUUGCAACGAAGAAGGAUAACUUAUUCCGCAUCUCACAUAAAGACAUGGAUGGACCAGUGAUUGCAAGGAAAAAGCUAUAAGGCACAAUACAUGUCCUUCACGGAAUGCACAAGUUUUUGUUUUUUAUGGUAAUUGGUAAAUGCACACCUUAGACCAUAUGCAAUGGUGAGUUGAGAGAGAUGUUGAGAGUUAUUGAGAGUUUGUAGUUUUUUUUUAGAUAAGCCAAAUAUUGUAUUCACACUUAACACAAGGAGUGCUAAACCCAAAUACAAAAGAAGAGGAAAAGAACAACAAAAAAACUAAAGCACUCUAGAAGACCAGCAUACCAAACGCAUGGACAACUAGAGCAAAUCAAGAGCAUGAAAACCAGGACAAACAAAACUUCCCAACCUACACAAAACAACCCACAAAACUCAUGCUCAACCCCAAUAAAAACAAACCAAUUGAGGGUCUGUAGUGUUUGUUGAGGAUGAGGUGGACGAGUGAGAUGUUGAGAGUGUUCAACAAAGUUGAGAGGGGUACUUGGUGCCACGUGGCGGAGAGAAGGCAGGAGAGAGAAUCUGAGUGGAGAUUUUUUGUUUUUAAAAAUUUUAAACUGAAUUAUCUUGUUGAACAAAAAAAAAUUUGAAAAUUUUUUUAACCAAAAUUCAUAACUUUUUUUCCUCUAUAAAUAGAGACUUGGUUCGUUUGAUUUGGACACAGAAAAAAAAAACCAAUUUUUUCACUAUCUUAUUAUUUUUCCUCUAUAAAUUAUUGUGUGCUUAGUUUGUUGUCUUCCAUUUUUAAGUUAAGGAAAUAAAAUAAAUUAUUGUCUAUAUUUAAAAAAAAUUAAACUGUUA